rnacentral:rRNA from 1 species
UACAGAGGGGGCAAGCGUUGUUCGGAAUUACUGGGCGUAAAGGGCGCGUAGGCGGCCUUCUAAGUCGAACGUGAAAUCCCCGGGCUCAACCCGGGAACUGCGUCCGAUACUGGAAGGCUUGAAUUCGGGAGAGGGAUGCGGAAUUCCAGGUGUAGCGGUGAAAUGCGUAGAUAUCUGGAAGAACACCGGUGGCGAAGGCGGCAUCCUGGACCGGCAUUGACGCUGAGGCGCGAAAGCCAGGGGAGCAAACGGG